UACGGGGGGGGCAAGCGUUGUUCGGAAUUACUGGGCGUAAAGGGCUCGUAGGCGGCCAACUAAGUCAGACGUGAAAUCCCUCGGCUUAACCGGGGAACUGCAUCUGAUACUGGAUGGCUUGAGUUCGGGAGAGGGAUGCGGAAUUCCAGGUGUAGCGGUGAAAUGCGUAGAUAUCAGGAGGAACACCGGUGGUGUAGACGGCUUUCUGGACCGUAACUGACGCUGAGACACGAAAGCGUGGGUAGCAAACAGG
rnacentral:rRNA from 1 species